GAUGAACGCUAGCGGGAGGCCUAACACAUGCAAGCCGAGCGGUAUUGUUUCUUCGGAAAUGAGAGAGCGGCGUACGGGUGCGUAACACGUGUGCAACCUGCCUUUAUCUGGGGGAUAGCCUUUCGAAAAGAAGAUUAAUACUCCAUAACAUAUUGAACGGCAUCGUUUAAUAUUGAAAGCUCCGGCGGAUAGAGAUGGGCACGCGCAAGAUUAGCUAGUUGGUGAGGUAACGGCUCACCAAGGCGAUGAUCUUUAGGGGGCCUGAGAGGGUGAUCCCCCACACUGGUACUGAGACACGGACCAGACUCCUACGGGAGGCAGCAGUGAGGAAUAUUGGUCAAUGGGUGCAAGCCUGAACCAGCCAUCCCGCGUGAAGGACGACUGCCCUAUGGGUUGUAAACUUCUUUUGUAUAGGGAUAAACCUACCCUCGUGAGGGUAGCUGAAGGUACUAUACGAAUAAGCACCGGCUAACUCCGUGCCAGCCGCCGCCGUAA
rnacentral:rRNA from 1 species